rnacentral:tRNA from 3 species
GGGUGAUUAGUUUAAUAAAAACAUUUGAUUUCGGCUCAAAAGCCUAUGGUUAGAUUCCAUAAUUACCUC